UCCUGGUUAUCUCAAUUGGUAGAGCGCUCUACUGGAAGUGGAGAGAUCACUGGUUCGAUACCAGGACCAGGCG
rnacentral:tRNA from 1 species